UACGGAGGGUGCAAGCGUUAAUCGGAAUUACUGGGCGUAAAGCGUGCGUAGGUGGUUCGUUAAGUCCGUUGUGAAAGCCCCGAGCUCAACUUGGGAAUUGCAGUGGAUACUGGCGAGCUAGAGUGCGGUAGAGGGAAGGUGGAAUUCCCGGUGUAGCGGUGAAAUGCGUAGAGAUCGGGAGGAACACCAGUGGCGAAGGCGGCCUCUGGACCAGCACUGGACGCUGAGACACGAAAGCGUGGGGAGCAAACAGGG
rnacentral:rRNA from 1 species